UGGGGAAUAUUGGACAAUGGGCGGAAGCCUGAUCCAGCAACGCCGCGUGAGGGAUGACGGCCUUCGGGUUGUAAACCUCUUUCAGUACCGACGAAGCGAGAGUGACGGUAGGUACAGAAGAAGCACCGGCCAACUACGUG
rnacentral:rRNA from 1 species